CGAACGCUGGCGGCAGGCCUACCACAUGCAAGUCGAACGGAUCCUUCGGGAUUAGUGGCGGACGGGUGAGUAACACGUGGGAACGUGCCCUUUGGUUCGGAACAACUCAGGGAAACUUGAGCUAAUACCGGAUGUGCCCUUCGGGGGAAAGAUUUAUCGCCAUUGGAGCGGCCCGCGUCUGAUUAGCUAGUUGGUGAGGUAACGGCCCACCAAGGCGACGAUCAGUAGCUGGUCUGAGAGGAUGAUCAGCCACACUGGGACUGAGACACGGCCCAGACUCCUACGGGAGGCAGCAGUGGGGAAUCUUGCGCAAUGGGCGAAAGCCUGACGCAGCCAUGCCGCGUGAAUGAUGAAGGUCUUAGGAUUGUAAAAUUCUUUCAGCGGGGACGAUAAUGACGGUACCCGCAGAAGAAGCUCCGGCUAACUUCGUG
rnacentral:rRNA from 1 species